rnacentral:rRNA from 1 species
CCUACGGGAGGCAGCAGUGGGGAAUAUUGCACAAUGGGGGAAACCCUGAUGCAGCAACGCCGCGUGAAGGAAGACGGUUUUCGGAUUGUAAACUUCUGUUCUUAGUGAAGAAUAAUGACGGUAGCUAAGGAGCAAGCCACGGCUAAAUACGUGCCAGCAGCCGCGGUAAUACGGAGGUGGCAAGGGUUGACCGGAAUUACUGGGUGUAAAGGGAGCGCAGGGGGGAAGCCAAGUCAGCUGUGAAAACUCCGGGCUUAACUUGUAGACUGCAGUUGAAACUGGUUUUCUUGAGUGAAGUAGAGGUUGGCGGAAUGCGGGGUGUAGCGGUGAAAUGCGUAGAUAUUCGGCAGAACACCGGUGGCGAAGGCAGCCAACUGGGCUUUAACUGACGCUGAGGCACGAAAGUGUGGGGAGCGAACAGGAUUAGAUACCCGGGUAGUC